rnacentral:rRNA from 1 species
AUGACGUUCAGCGGCGCCCAGAUGCUCGCUGCCUUCACCUUGGGCUUUCUUCUCAUGGCCUUCUGUGUAGAUGGUCGGGUAUGCACAUCCCCUAGCAAGUUGUACAAAAGGAGCCCUUGCAAGAACAUGGGCUGCACCGCGGCCUGUCACAAAGAGCACUUCGAGGGUGGGUACUGUGCCACUAAGAAGACAAUUGUUGGCAAUGAGCUCAACAAAGACAACGACGAAAACUUCUUUCACAAACGACCUAAGAAAAAGACAUGCGUAUGUACACUUCAAUGCAGUAAAGCCCCACCACCAUCGUCAGAACCUGACGUGCCAGAGCCACCGGGUGAACCUGAGCUGCCAGAUCCUAAGAAGAAGCCGCCGCCGCCAUAUGUACGUGAUGUGCCGGAGCCGCCCUCGGGAGAAAACAAGAAGAAGCUAGUGGCAGCUGCUGACCAGUGA